AAUAUUUAAAGUUGGAAAACACAUCAUUUCUUUCAUGGAUUAUCCUUUGACUGUGGAUAUAAUCUUUUUUAAGGGAUGGGAAUUUCUAAAAUAGGUUUUAUUGCCCUAAAUAUAAGUUUCUCCUGUGGUCUUGAUGUGUACAUACCAUUUUCUUAAGUUGCUACUGCUCAUUAUUUUGUCCUUAACUUCUACUCCACUUCCUAUAUUAUUGAACAGUUCAAGUAAGAGAGGCACUAACUUUUUCAUACAGCUAUGCAGGUGUAUGAGUGGGUUAGGUUAAAUGACUUCUGACUGUCACAUCUCCAUUGUCUGGAGAGCAAGAGGGAGUGAUUUAAGUGGAUCGGUAGGUUAUCCUUUGUCCAGGAUAUGUAUAUGGUCACAAAGUUUCUGGUCAGCAUAAAAUUGGCUUUGUGAUUCUAGUCUAGUUUGGAUGAAUAGGUGGUGUUGUGGUGAAUUUGUGACGGAAAACAAGGUUCUUUGAUGCCCAACUUGUAUUUUCAGGAUGUGACUACUAAGAGUUGCCUUGUUGGUUAGCUAGGAGGUCCACAUCCUGAGGAGGUGAAUAAUCUCAUCCUCUGAAUAGCUGACCCCAAGAAAGUCUUUUUGAUUUGUUGGAUCAUUGUCCACCCUAUAACCAACUGCUCUUGAAAUUGGUAAUGAGAUAUUAGAGGUGAUCCUAUCAAGAAA